UGGGGAAUAUUGCACAAUGGGGGAAACCCUGAUGCAGCGACGCCGCGUGAACGAAGAAGGUAUUCGUAUCGUAAAGUUCUGUCCUAUGGGAAGAUAAUGACAGUACCAUAGAAGAAAGCUCCGGCUAAAUACGUGCCAGCAGCCGCGGUAAUACGUAUGGAGCGAGCGUUGUCCGGAAUUAUUGGGCGUAAAGGGUACGCAGGCGGUUUAAUAAGUCGAAUGUUAAAGAUCGGGGCUCAACCCCGUAAAGCAUUGGAAACUGAUAAACUUGAGUAGUGGAGAGGAAAGUGGAAUUCCUAGUGUAGUGGUGAAAUACGUAGAUAUUAGGAGGAGUACCAGUAGCGAAGGCGACUUUGUGGACACGAACUGACGCUGAGGUACGAAAGCGUGGGGAGCAAACAGG
rnacentral:rRNA from 1 species